AACUCACCUAAAAAAAAAAAAAAAAAAAUACACCUCACCUAAAGUGGCAAAAAGAAUGAAAAACAGGGGGGAAAACCCCUUAUAUUCAAUGAAACAAUAAAAUGGCCCCAACUGCAACCUGCCCGAAACUGCCCCAGAUUUCUCUCAAAUGUCCCAAACCUAAAGACUCAUCCUAUAAUUCUUUAGAUUCCCAGGAUAUCUUCUAUGCUAUGACAGGACACAGGUCCCUAAGUGAGGAAUGCCCUAUGCAGACCCAGGUUAAUAGUUCUCACUGGCAGUGAUGCCAUCUCUAAAAGAAAAGUCUCACUGACAUUCCUUUUUUUUUUUUUUUUUGCGAGUUUAAUUCUCUUUUUUAUUGAGAUACAGUUGCUUUACAAUAUUAUAUAAAUUUCAGGUGUACAAGAUAGUGAUUCACAAUUUUUAAAGAUUAUACUCCAUUUAUAGUUAUUAUAAAAUAUUGGCCAUAUUCCCUGUACAGUAUAUCCUUGUAGCCUAUUUAUUUUAAACACAGUGGACUGUACCUCUCACAUAUGAGGAAACUCAGGUCCAGAGAGGUUAAAGUGUCAAAGUUUACCCUGGGAGUAAGGAAGUAAAAGGUAGAGCUGAGAUCAGAGUCUAGGAUAUUCCUCUUGUCUAAAUCCAUCCAAACAGCAGCAGGAUAAAGGAGAGCGGGGAAGCUGUUUUUCACCUACUCAUAACCUAGAAAGGACUUGAUGGACAGCGGCACUAACCCUCAGAGACAAAGGGGAGACAUCCUCCCAGGGCAAAGCAUUAGGUCUCCCACCUCUGGACCUGCCCUCUGGCAGAUUUCAGCAACCACACCCUCCUCGUUCCACCUUGAUGUCCCCGUCCGCACCGCCCCCCUCCCCACCGCUUCUCAGCUCCUGGUCUGAAUCAGUUGGGGCUUCUGAAUUCCUAGGAAUGGCAAGAGGAAGCACUUGGGAAGGAGCAGAGCAGUCAGGGCUGUGAUUUGAAUCCUUCUUCAGCUUUUGGCUUUUCCAUGUAGGUACUAGAAGUAUGAGUCAGGAGGAUACAUGUGCGUAAUCAGAGCUUAAUUGAUUGUCUAACCAGUGGCACAGAUCAGUUCUGAAAUUCUGCAGUACUCAAGCUCUAAAUCCCAAUACUAGAGUUUCUUAUACACUUAACUCUGCCUCCUACAUAAUUCUGAGUAUGAGUCAUCCCCUUUCUCCCUCUCCCAAGCAUCCCUUUCAGUUACACAUCUUUUGGUUCUAACUCAUUUUGCCCCUGCCUAUCCCUGGGUUUAUUAUUUACCAGCAGUUUUCAUUACCAUUUCAGUAUUUCACUGGGGAUGAGAAAAUAUUCCACUGUGAUGCUGAACAACACUGAGCAGAAGUGUCAACCUCCAUGAAUUUUCACUCCACACGAAGGCUGGAGAAAGAUAGAGGGGUCUGCCUGUAGCUGAAAGUGAUGGGUCCACAGCAGGGGCUCUAUAUAUUCCAGUCUCUUUGGUAAUCUGUAUGUUUCAUCAGCCAGGAAUGUUGGCGAUGAGCACCCUUUCAAAGUGGAUGAAGGUGUCCAGAUGGCUGUUUCCUUUCAUUCUGAUUAAAACUGUUAGCUUAACAUAUGCACCAGAGCUCCCAGCCCACCAUAUAAAUUGAGAUAGACUCAGUGAGACUGUGUCCACAGCCAUGAACCUGAAUUGACUCUGUGGAUUGCUCUAGAUCGCUCUCCCCUGUCCACAUUAUUCCUUAGCUAAUAGUUGGCUCCAUUUAAAGAAGACUCACUAUUUCCAUUUUAAAGGGUAGAAAAAAAUACAUCACAAGAAGAAUCAACCCCCAAAAAUUACCAACAGAAAGGAAGAGUUCAGACAAAUAAGUGUACAUAUUUUUAAAGAAAUUGCAUUGUGUUUUCCAAAAGAGAGCUCAAAGGGUUCUGUGAAGAGACUAUAAUACAUCAAGCAGGAAAUGAAUAGUGUGUCAGUAGAAUUUAGGGAAGAACUGCAAGGAAACAAAAUCAUUACAGAGAUGAAGCACACUUCAGAAGUGACAAGAGUAAAGGACACAGUGCUGCAAACACAGCCAGAGGUAAAAGUGGUGAAUAGGCUUGAGGAAUCACAAAGACAAAAAGGAAAAGACAGAGAUAUUAAAAAGGGUAUAUGGGAAUUCCCUGGUGGUCCAGUGGUUAGGACUCAGUGCUUUUACUGCUGAGGGCCCAGGUUCAGUUCCUGGUAGAAGAACUGAGAUCCUACAGUGUGGCCAAAGAAAAAAAAGAAAAGAAAGGUAUAAAAAAAGUGGUCAGAUUGGAAGACAGAGAAAGCAUAAUCAACAAAAGUAGAAUUGAUUUUCUGAAGAAGAGAAAAAUGAAGAGAAAAAGUAUUCCAACAUAUCAUUUAUGCAUUCAAGGAGUAUUGAUUGCAUACUUACAUAACUCUAGACAUAAAGGAAAAAUUAUCGAGUAAAAAUAUAAUAGAAGACAACUUUUUUGAACUAAAUAAAAACAUGAAGUUACAGAUAAAAAAGACACAGUUUAUCCUAGGAAGAGAAAAAUAACAACCUUGAUAGUUAAGGCACAUCUAGGAGAAAUUACUAUAUUUUAGGAAUAAAGGAAAUUCAGUGGUCAGAAAAUUUAGAUCUUAUACAAGGGAAAAAUACGUUUGAUCCCAGCUUUCUUAACGGGACCAGUCAGUGUCUGAAGACAAUGGAACAAUAUCUACCAAUAUCAAGUGGCUUGGUUAUGCAAGUGGAAAGGUGUAAAACAGGCAUUCUAAAUCAUGUGGUAUCUGUGAUCCAAUCUUGAAAAAUCUACAGGAUGACAAAAUGUAGUACAUCAAGAGAUAGAUGAUGUCAUGAUUUGUGGAGUAGCGGUGAAACUCAUGGAAUUAGAGACCAAACAGCUGUGAGGAAUAUGACCACAGAACAGACUGUAAUAUUAUAAACUUUGACAAUGUAAAAUAAUUAUGUAACUAAUAAAAAGUGGGAAUUGAGGGAGGGAUGGUGGGAGAAAGUAUGGUGUUAAUUUCCAUAUCUUUCAAGAAGGGAACGACUAGGCAUUAACUAAACUUAAAAUAAGUAAUUAAGAAAGAAUCUUAGCAUAGUUAAAAAAAAUAACUCUAUGUCUUUUUGUUUGGGUUCCUUUUUAUAAAUUAACUCUCAGAAAUAUUGAUUUGAGAUUUAGUAAUUUUUCAGUUCUUUGGUAACUUCCGGCAAAUUUCAAGAACACUGAAUUUAUAGUGAAAAAUUUUAUCUUGCUUAAGAGAUAGGUUUUAACAUGAUCCCAGAAUGUGAAUAUUACAUGUAAUCAAAAUUUUCUUUGAAAAUCUCAGAAAGUGUGUGGCAGUGAAGGCCACUUUUGCUUAGUAAGUUCAGCACGGCCAAUUUAAUCUCCAGCUUUGGAAGAAAUCAUUGUUUCCUCAUUAGAGUACUGGGUAAGGUAGUAAGUUUGUGUUUGGAGGCAUAUUAUGCAAACAGUAUGUCCUCUUGAAUGCCAAAGCUCGUAUUCAGUUCAGCGAGAUACUUGCACUACGGAGGUACAUUGUCCUUGACUGUGAAUGAGGAACAGAUAGAAAUGUCUCUCAUGCUCCUUAAGUGAAAGGGAAGGUAAGUUGAAAUGUCUGUACUAUGUAAAUUUUUAAUUUUCCUCUCUGUCUCUUUCUCUCUCUUUAUAUAAGUGUAUGGUUGUAUAUGUGUAAGUGAAAGAAAUGCUUAGUGUUGACUUUAAAAAAAGCGUAAGAUUUGUGAGUUUAAGUUUUAUUCAGGGUCUUGCUGAGGACUAGAGCCUGAGAGUCAGCUACUCAGUAGCUCUGAGGAAACUGCUCCAAGAAGGUAGGGGAGGAACGAGUUUAUAUAUGAUUUUUGGUUAGGAAAUUCAUGCCGUCAAGCGUACAUCUUAGUAAAAGAUUGCUGCUAAUCGUGAGGAACAGAUAUCUCAGAUGAAUGAUUUUAGUGCUUUUCUGUGUAUGGGAAGAUGUGAGAAUCUGGGGUAAUUGAAAUUCUUCCUGAAGUAUGCAUCUAACUAUUGAAGGGCUUGCUUCUCAGGAAGCACAGAGUGCCUCGUCGUGUUUUUCAUCCUGAAUUCCUUUCUGGGUUUGCUGUUGGUGGUCAGCUGCAGUGGGUUCUGACUUAGCCCUUGUAGAACUGAGUGCAGUACUUGGAAGAGCCAGGUCUGUCUCCACAGGCCGUAUCCAUGAGAAGAUGCCGGAGCUGUCCAUCACGACAAACUCUCCCUGCUCACCAGCAAAGGCUGCAGCCAAGAUUGAUGUCAAAGUCCCCCGUCUGUUAAGAGUGGAGUUGAGGCCUGGAGGAGGAGGGCAGUCAGCAUAAAACUUCUACUCUGAGAGGAGGCUGGAACACAGUGGCUAAACUCAGGAAUUCUGAAGCUGGAAUGCCUGAGUCCAAACGUUCGGCUCUGCCUCUAACCAGCUGUGUGACCUUGGCAAGUUACUUAACCUCUCUGUGCUUCAAUAUUCUCCUCUAUAAAAUGUGGAUGAUAAGAAGAGUACCUACCUCAUUGUUGCCCUGUGAAGACUAAAGGAGUUAAAACAUGCACUGUGCCAAGAGCGGGAGUUAGCAUGGUAAACAAGAAACAGACAAACACAGGAGAUUUAGGAGCAGGGGCCAGCAUGACACCCUACAUCGCCAGGAUUAGCUGCAUCUCCACAGACACUGGUAGAGAGUGCCUAGGAGCCUGUCUGCACCAACACUUGCAUCGUAGAACUGUGAGUUCCCAUGAGUCCAGAAGUGGUAGCUGGGCUACUCAGUCAGCAGUUUCUACCAUCUAAUAGCAGCAAAAUCCAGAAGGAUGAGGACUCAAAUGACAUGGAACUGAAGAUCUUGUCCAACCUUCUGAUUAUGAUUUGAUUUUCCUUGUACACUUUCCUGUAGAGAUACAAAGAUCUAUCCAUACAGGCUUAAAUAUUUCAGUACUUACAUAUUAUAUUUCUCAAAAUAAAUUAACAAAAAUGCACAGUCUGAUCUUAUACAUCAGGCUUGUGAGUUUGUAAGUCUGCCCCAAGCAAUGAAUUUACAUUCAUGUGCCCUUAAUGUCAGAUUUCUGAACCUUGCAGGAGUAAAAUCAACAUAUCCACAUUCUAAUUCCUGAAUCUAUGUUACCUUAUAUGGCAAAAGGGACAUUUCACAUGCUACUAA